CAACCGAACGAGCAAACCCGGUGAAAGCCGGCGACGCAAAACUAUAGGGGCUAAUGCGGAUCCGCUAUGCCAGCCAGGUGCCGAA
rnacentral:ncRNA from 1 species